AUAGCGUAUAUUAAAGUUGUUGCGGUUAAAAAGCUCGUAGUUGGAUCUCAGUUCAAGUCUGGUGGUCCACUUGCCAGUGGUUACUGUUUGGCUGAACACUUUACCGAGUGCGUCCCAUGGUGCUCUUCGCCGAGUGUCAUGGGCGAUCGGUACGUUUACUUUGAAAAAAUUAGAGUGCUCAAAGCAGGCAUACUGCCCGAAUAAUGUUGCAUGGAAUAAUGGAAUAGGACCUCGGUUCUAUUUUGUUGGUCUUCGGAACCUGAGGUAAUGAUUAAGAGGGACAGACGGGGGCAUUCGUAUUGCGGCGCUAGAGGUGAAAUUCUUGGACCGUCGCAAGACGAA
rnacentral:rRNA from 1 species